AUUGAACGCUGGCGGCAGGCCUAACACAUGCAAGUCGAGCGCGCGGCGGACGGGUGAGUAAUGUCUGGGAAACUGCCUGAUGGAGGGGGAUAACUACUGGAAAAGGUAGCUAUUACCGCAUACCAUCAGAUGUGCCCAGAUGGGAGUAGCUAGUAGGUGGGGGAACGUCUCACCUAGGCGACGAUCCCUAGCUGGUCUGUGAGGGUGACCAGCAACACUGGAACUGAGACACGGUCCAGACGCCUACGGUAGGCAGCAGUGGGGAAUAUUGCACAAUGGGCGCAAGCCUGAUGCAGCCAUGCCGCGUGUGUGAAGAAGGCCUUCGGGUUGUAAAGCACUUUCAGCGGGGAGGCGUUACCCGCAGAAGAAGCACCGGCUAACUCCGUGCCAGCAGCCGCGGUAAUUC
rnacentral:rRNA from 1 species